AUAAUUAUGAUUUAGUUAUUUCUCUCUAGGGUUAUAGCAGCCAGCAUUUCUUCUUUCUCCCGUCCUCAGGCUAAGAAAACUGCAGGCGUCUCUCUCUUCUUCUUCUUCCUUCGUAAAUGGCGCUCCCAGGUCCUUACUCCGGCGUCAGCACCCUUGCUUUUGUUGCUCGUGUUUCGGCUCUGACUUUAGGCUUUGUCUACGGGGGCGUGAAGCUCUCCUAUCUCCAGGCUAAGGCAAAGUCUCAAAAAAAAGCUGAGGAAAAGAAAGGUCAUCACUAGCACUGCACUGCAGUUGUUUCGCUAUGAUUCUGACAAUCAACCAUUAAUGAUGAUUUUUCUGUGUAAUAAUUUUUAUUUUUGAGUCUGUUUUUCAGCCUAUACAGUAAGGCAGUAGUUCUUUUCGACAGUAAACCUCUCUAUGAAAUCUUAAUUGCUUCGUAUCUUCAGAGAAAAUAAUGCCUAACCAUGCAUUGGACCACAUUGCAUAUUUGAUUAGAAUAUUUGAGUAUAAUUUUUAUUC